rnacentral:rRNA from 1 species
AGUGAACGCUGGCGGUAGGCCUAACACAUGCAAGUCGAACGGCAGCACAGUAAGAGCUUGCUCUUACGGGUGGCGAGUGGCGGACGGGUGAGGAAUACAUCGGAAUCUACUUUUUCGUGGGGGAUAACGUAGGGAAACUUACGCUAAUACCGCAUACGACCUACGGGUGAAAGCAGGGGAUCUUCGGACGUUGCGCGAUUGCAUGUGCCGAGGUCGGAUUAGCUAGUUGGCGGGGUAAAGGCCCAACAAGGCGACGAUCCGUAGCUGGUCUGAGAGGAUGAUCAGCCACACUGGAACUGAGACACGGUCCAGACUCCUACGGGAGGCAGCAGUGGGGAAUAUUGGACAAUGGGCGCAAGCCUGAUCCAGCCAUACCGCGUGGGUGAAGAAGGCCUUCGGGUUGUAAAGCCCUUUUGUUGGGAAAGAAAAGCAGCAGGUUAAUACCCCGCGGUUCUGACGGUACCCAAAGAAUAAGCACCGGCUAACUUCGUG